UACGUAGAAGACUAGUGUUAUUCAUCUUUAAUAGGUUUAAAGGGUACCUAGACGGUAUAAUUAGUCUUUAACAGGAAACGGUUAUACUAGAGUUAUAUAUGAGGAGGUGAGUAUUUGUGGAGUAGAGUUGAAAUUCUUUGAUACCAUGAAGACUGGUAAAGGCGAAAGCAACCUUUUAUCUAAUAACUGAUGUUGAGGGACGAAGGCUCGGGUCGCGAACAGG
rnacentral:rRNA from 1 species